rnacentral:lncRNA from 1 species
UGGGGUUGUAGCUUUGCUUUGUUGUGUGUGGGGGGGCUUGGAUCAGCUGGAAGUGAUCCUCACGGAGCACUUCUUUAAAUACUAUGUGCCAGAGGUUAGCGGUCUGGGCCCCAAGAGCAGGGAGAGGGGAAGGGCCAGGAGCCCCUUGCAGUGAGAGUGUGGUCAUGUCCCCCCCUACCCCUGCCCUGUCUGCAAGCUGGGAGCGCAACUGCACCUGCCUGGAGAAAGAGAACUCAGGGAGGAGGAAGUGACGUAGAUGAGACUCACUUGUGCAUAGCUUGAAAAUGUGGCCUGUGGAAUGGCUUUUCCAGUUUUCUCAUCAACUGCUUAACCCUCCUGGACUUCACUUGCACGAGCUGUAUGCCCAGCAAGGAUGAAAGAAUGGGCCCCACUUCCCAGGAAUGUUGGGAGGACUUAAUGAGGUAUGUAAAUGCCUCGAGGGUUAGCAAAUACCAUUAUUGGCCAGCCGAUUACUGAGCCACACUCAUCACUCACAGUCCUGUGACUCUAAGACCAUUACUUUUCUCAGAUGGAGAGCCUAUCCAUAUGGGCUUCCAUCUAAAGCAGGGAUUGUUAGCACAGACAGGAGAGGGGAAGGGUUCUGCCUUUAAUUUCUUUUACGUUUUGAUUUGCAGUUCAAUUCACUGAUUGCUGCACCAAGAAUUCAGCCACCAGCUACCUUGCUUACAGACUCAGCCUUUUCUUAUGCAGAAUGGAUAUGACGUCACCAUCUUUCCUCCUCAUAAGUUGGUGGUAGCUAUCAAUGAUUGCUGGAGGUUGCUGCUUUUCUUUCAACUAUAGGAAGACUUGAUCCAGAGGAUUCUGGAUUCUGGAUUCUGAC